rnacentral:lncRNA from 10 species
GUUUGGUGGUCUCUUCGCACAGAAGUGCAUGAAAUUUGGUGCUGUGACUGGGAUCGGGGGACCUCCCUUGGGAGAUCAAUCCUCUGUCCUCCUGCUCUUUGCUCCAUGAGAAAGGUCCACCUACGACCUCAGGUCCUCAGACCGACCAGCCCAAGAAACAUCUCAUCAAUUUCAAAUCCGGACCCCACUGGAAAUCGGACUGUUCAACUCACCUGGCAGCCACUCCCAGAGCCCCUGGAACUCUGGCCCAAGGCUCUCUGACUGACUCCUUCCCAGAUCUUCUCGGCUUAGCGGCUGAAGACCGACGCUGCCGGAUCGUCUCGGAAGCCCCGUAGACCAUCACGGACGCCGAGCUUUAAGUAACUCUCACAGUGGACGCAUCCUUAAGAGUAAGCACUAUUAUUAUCAUCAUUUUACAAAUGAGGAAACUGAAGCACAGAAAUGUCAAGUGGCUUUCCCAAGGUCAUACCGCAAGUAAGUCACAGAAUCAGUAUUUGGAUCUAGGAAGAGAGCCUUCAGAGUCCUUGUUUUAAUUAUUUGCUCUACCAAGAAGAAAAAGAAGAGAGAAAAAAAGAAAAUAAAGAAUACAGACAGGCAGGUUAAUGAGAGAAAAAGAUAAAUAAUGAAGAACAAAAAGCAAGGAGCAAUAUUCUGAAGAGUUACAGACAUGAUGGAAUAAACAGCAAGUUGUCAAAAGGAGCUGCAAAUGCCCAUGUAUGCCCUUUCAGGAGCGCUAGACUAUCUGCAUGAGACAGAGAGUAAAUCCUGAUGCCAUCACUCAAACUAGACCUACAAGUGCCUCGAGUUCUUACAGAUCCCCAUCUUUCUGGGCAAAACAUCCAUCCUUCAAAUCAUUCCACAGGUUAAAGAACAAAUGUCAGGUUACACUCUUGAAUAGUACAGUCCUAUUUUCUCCCAUAAAUGCCUGCAUAGGACGUCUUCUUCAUAUGGACCCUAAAAUAUUUCUACAAGUAGUAGACAUUUUUUAGAACUGCAAUAAAGUAAUGUAAUAAAUGCAUUGUUUGAAUUUUUUCCUGUUUUAUAUAUGAUACCUGAGAUUAGAAUUGUGUCCCUUUUAUAUAAAAUUGGGCAGUUUUAUUUUGUGCCAUUUCAAAGGUAUUGUUCUAUAUCACUGUAGUUUCAGAUGUUUAUUUUUUAUUAUUUCAAAGUCAAAACAUGAAGAAGUAAGAUGUAUGUUUCUGUAUGCCUUUAAAAAUGCAAACCUGCAACAUUAAUGGGAACUUUCCCCAGGACACUUCAUUUCAGUUCCAACUGGCUGCUAAUUACUUACUCACAGUGGAAGUGUCACACUGCUUUCCUUUCAGCACUUCGUUGGCCAAGUGUCUCUGGCAAUAAUCUCUCAACACAUAAGCACCAUUCCCUUUCAUCACAUUAUUUAAUCAAUAAAGUAAUGUCCUCGCACUGGCCAGGCUCAGAGCCAUCUUGUCACAAGUGCUAAAUAAAUGAAACAAACACCAGUCCUGCUUCUACAACCUCUCCAUUAAUAAACAUGAACGGAGACGCCUUUAAUACAAAAUCCAUUCUCUCAAACGUUUAAAACUGCACACACAUGCACGUUUGCAAGACUAGAAGAGGAAUCAUUUAUAUGAUGGUGAGAAUAGACCAAGCAGCACUGGGCCAAGUCCCACUCACAAGUGGUGAGAUUACGUUAUUUCCAACUGGGACAAGUGCCCCUUCCAUGCUCUCCCAGGGCUGCUUGUUCCCAAGGGGUGAUGUUUCCUCAUCCAUGUUCUGUCUGUAAGAGGCAAGCACAUCAUGGCACUCCCUCUGCUGCUCAGUUUACAAAAGAAUGAUAGGAUGCCCCAUUUUUCCUUCUCUUUUUGCCAGGGGCCCUGCACUAUGGUAGUAUUGGGCUUCCAAAUAUAAAGUUUGGAUCCCAAUUCAUCCUCUCCUAUUUCUCAAUGGUAAUAAAACCAGAGGAGAGAAGGGUGAGUCUUAGCCUUAGUCUAACAGAUGCUGGCACACUCUAGGUAUGCAAUGUUAAAAGGAUAAAUGACUUAUUUAUGUAGCAUCAGAGUCACCUUCUUUAGAAGCUAGCAUUUAUUAAGCACUUAAUAUGUGGCAGGCACUCUUCUAAUAGGUAACUUGCUUAAUUCUCUCAUUUUAUACAUUGAGAAACUAAGGCUUGGCAAGGAUAAGUCAGUUAUCCAGAGUCCCAGC